GUAACAGCUGCUUGCAGAUGUGUAUUGAUAUCGUGGAGACCUAUCUGCAGAAGUCCCGUAUAAAAUCAAAAGAAAGAUGCUUGGGGAGAGGUUUGCGUAGCAGAACUUUCUCAAAACGGUCACAUAUUUUGGACUUUAUGAUAUGGAGUUACACAAGGCUCUGUCGGUAGCUCUACUUGUGAUAAUGGCACUUCAAUGUAGCAUUGCAGGAAUGAUACCACUGUCAGGAAACACCACACAACCACAACCCACAGUUUCACCAAUCAAUAAUACCCCAAAUCAUGAUAAGUGUUCGAACAAAACUUUUGGAAUUACAGAGUGUCACCCGCCUGUAUUAAACCAACGAGUGAUUCAGCAAAGUUACACGGAUGCCUUUUCUCCAGCUUGCACUAGACACGAUAUUUGCUAUAAAUGUGGGAGCAAGUUCCAUAGAAGUCGCGACCACUGUGAGAUAAAGUUUCUCGAAGAUAUGACCAAAAUAUGUGAAACUUUGGACGGGUUUUAUGAUGUAAAUAUAUGUGGAGGAGUAGCAGGGACGUUUUAUGCCCAAGUUUAUCUUUCAGGCAAAGCUAAUUACCACGAAAUACCCUUAGAAUUCUGUUCUGAGUUUUGGGUGGCCGUAUGUUUGGGCUGAAUAAAAUAAAUUCUAUAUUUCAUUAUU